AGCUACACAUGCAAGUCGAGCGGCAGCGGGGGGAAGCUUGCUUCCCCGCCGGCGAGCGGCGGACGGGUGAGUAAUGUCUGGGGAUCUGCCUGAUGGAGGGGGAUAACUACUGGAAACGGUAGCUAAUACCGCAUAACGUCGCAAGACCAAAGUGGGGGACCUUCGGGCCUCACGCCAUCGGAUGAACCCAGAUGGGAUUAGCUAGUAGGUGAGGUAACGGCUCACCUAGGCGACGAUCCCUAGCUGGUCUGAGAGGAUGACCAGCCACACUGGAACUGAGACACGGUCCAGACUCCUACGGGAGGCAGCAGUGGGGAAUAUUGCACAAUGGGGGAAACCCUGAUGCAGCCAUGCCGCGUGUGUGAAGAAGGCCUUCGGGUUGUAAAGCACUUUCAGCGGGGAGGAAGGGGACAAGGUUAAUAACCUUGUUCAUUGACGUUACCCGCAGAAGAAGCACCGGCUAACUCCGUGCCAGCAGCCGCGGUAAUACGGAGGGUGCAAGCGUUAAUCGGAAUGACUGGGCGUAAAGCGCACGCAGGCGGUCUGUUAAGUUGGAUGUGAAAUCCCCGGGCUUAACCUGGGAACUGCAUUCAAAACUGACAGGCUAGAGUCUCGUAGAGGGGGGUAGAAUUCCAGGUGUAGCGGUGAAAUGCGUAGAGAUCUGGAGGAAUACCGGUGGCGAAGGCGGCCCCCUGGACGAAGACUGACGCUCAGGUGCGAAAGCGUGGGGAGCAAACAGGAUUAGAUACCCUGGUAGUCCACGCUGUAAACGAUGUCGAUUUGGAGGUUGUGCCCUUGAGGCGUGGCUUCCGGAGCUAACGCGUUAAAUCGACCGCCUGGGGAGUACGGCCGCAAGGUUAAAACUCAAAUGAAUUGACGGGGGCCCGCACAAGCGGUGGAGCAUGUGGUUUAAUUCGAUGCAACGCGAAGAACCUUACCUACUCUUGACAUCCAGCGAACCCUGUAGAGAUACGGGGGUGCCUUCGGGAACGCUGAGACAGGUGCUGCAUGGCUGUCGUCAGCUCGUGUUGUGAAAUGUUGGGUUAAGUCCCGCAACGAGCGCAACCCUUAUCCUCUGUUGCCAGCACUUCGGGUGGGAACUCAGGGGAGACUGCCGGUGAUAAACCGGAGGAAGGUGGGGAUGACGUCAAGUCAUCAUGGCCCUUACGAGUAGGGCUACACACGUGCUACAAUGGCGCAUACAAAGAGAAGCGACCUCGCGAGAGCAAGCGGACCUCAUAAAGUGCGUCGUAGUCCGGAUUGGAGUCUGCAACUCGACUCCAUGAAGUCGGAAUCGCUAGUAAUCGUAGAUCAGAAUGCUACGGUGAAUACGUUCCCGGGCCUUGUACACACCGCCCGUCACACCAUGGGAGUGGGUUGCAAAAGAAGUAGGUAGCUUAACCUUCGGGAGGGCGCUACCACUUGAUC
rnacentral:rRNA from 1 species